rnacentral:rRNA from 1 species
AUUGAACGCUGGCGGCAGGCCUAACACAUGCAAGUCGAGCGGAUGAAGGGAGCUUGCUCCUGGAUUCAGCGGCGGACGGGUGAGUAAUGCCUAGGAAUCUGCCUGGUAGUGGGGGAUAACGUCCGGAAACGGGCGCUAAUACCGCAUACGUCCUGAGGUAGAAAGUGGGGGAUCUUCGGACCUCACGCUAUCAGAUGAGCCUAGGUCGGAUUAGCUAGUUGGUGGGGUAAAGGCCUACCAAGGCGACGAUCCGUAACUGGUCUGAGAGGAUGAUCAGUCACACUGGAACUGAGACACGGUCCAGACUCCUACGGGAGGCAGCAGUGGGGAAUAUUGGACAAUGGGCGAAAGCCUGAUCCAGCCAUGACGCGUGUGUGAAGAAGGUCUUCGGAUUGUAAAGCACUUUGAGUUGGGAGGAAGGGCAGUAAGUUAAUACCUUGCUGUUUUGACGUUACCAACAGAAUAAGCACCGGCUAACUUCGUG